rnacentral:lncRNA from 1 species
UUUGAGACCCAGCGUCUCUAGAUCUCGUAUUUGAAUUUGUGGCGCUUGGUGUCCGCGAGUUGCCGAAUGAAGCUGAGCGUCUCAGUGGAACCAGGGAUCUCAGGGAGGGGAAGGUAUAAAAUUUUCAAAUGGAGGAGUAUACCUGAACCUAAUCAUGGAUGUGAUUUUAUGGUCUCGCUUUGUCACCUAGCAGUGUAGUGGUGUAAUCACAGCUCACUGCAGCCUCGACCUCCUGGGCGCAAGGAAUCUUCCAGCCUCAGCCACCCAAGUAGCUGAGACUACAAAUACAGAUAAGCUGAUUCUAAAACUUACAAGAAUGGCAAAGAAACAAGAAGAGCUUAAACUGCAAUCAUCAACAGAGAAGCUUUCUGCAACCAAAGUGAAGACUGAAGCCUUAGGCUAUGGCAGAAGUUGGGCGCCUGAAGUACACGUGGAAAUAUGCCAACUGAACAUUGGACUACCACGUCAAGGGUCUCCUACCCCUGGGCCAUGGAUCAAUACCAGUCUGUGACCUGUUAGGAACCGGUAGCAGGAGCGCCUGCCCCUGGCUCAGCGCCCGGUGCCAACAGAACACCUUUCAGGAUCCACAGCAACGCAGACAACGGAACUCACAAGGGCUUCGGUUCUCAAGAGGCCAUCAAAACAUAACUGCUGCCGAGACAAUACCUUUCCUUCCCCUCACUACAUUCACUGAAUGUUCUGGAUCAGUGCGUCUCACACCUUUGGAUCUUAUAAGCUACUUGGAAAAAAAUGAUAUCAAGAGAGACAAGGUUUUAAGCCAGCCCUACUGUGAGUU